rnacentral:tRNA from 1 species
GCGGGUAUGGCGGAAUUGGCAGACGCGCUAGACUUAGGAUCUAGUGUCUAUGACGUGCAGGUUCAACUCCUGUUACCCGCACCA